UAAGUAAGUGGUGGAAAUUAAACCAAAUGGGAUAUCUUUAGUAAUUGCGAAUGAACAAGGAUAUGCUUAGCUUGACAAAUGGAGCUAUUGGCUUUGAAUUGUAUUGUGGAAAUGUAUUACCAACAGAGGUGCAGGUGCCAGCCUAUUGAAAUAAAGCGUCAAUGAGGGUGAGAAUCCUGUUUGUCAUGUGCAGCCCUUUGUGCACGGUGUAUAUUUGCUGAGUCACACUCCUUGGCAUUGGAAUGCAAAGUGGGUGGUAAGUUUCAUGUAAAGGUAAACAUGCAAUUGAGACUGAUAGCACACAAGUACCAUGAGGGAAAUAUGAAAAGGACUUUGAAAAGAGAAUUAAAUGAGUUUGUAUUUGCUGAACACAAAGUAAACAGACUUGAUUUGCUUGGUGGGAGUGUUGCACUUGCUCGACAAGAGCUUUGGGCUGUGGGUGUAAUGAUUCUUUCUUUGCAUGCCAGUUUCUAUGUGUACAUCUGAUUACCUUUGCACAUGAAUGAUAAGUCUCCUGUGGGGGGUGGAUUGCAUGUGCAUGUAAUGAUUUGUGUUUUGAUAAAUGUGUCUGGUGUAUGUGUGUGUGUUCCUGUGCUUGGGGAUGCUUCCUUCCUUGGACUUACAAGCCCUGACACACACAUGCUGGCAAAAUGCUUCUGCUUGACCCG
rnacentral:rRNA from 1 species